rnacentral:rRNA from 1 species
UACGGAGGGUGCAAACGUUGCUCGGAAUCAUUGGGCGUAAAGCGCACGUAGGCGGCCCGGCAAGUCGGAUGUGAAAGCCCUCGGCUCAACCGAGGAAGUGCAUUCGAAACUGCUGGACUUGAAUAUGGAAGAGGGUCGCGGAAUUCCCGGUGUAGAGGUGAAAUUCGUAGAUAUCGGGAGGAACACCAGUGGCGAAGGCGGCGACCUGGGCCAAUAUUGACGCUGAGGUGCGAAAGCGUGGGGAGCAAACAGG